rnacentral:lncRNA from 1 species
GAGUUUUAAAAUCAAUUAGCUCCCUCCCCCAUGUCCCCGAUAAGAGUUUGUACAAACUCUCUGUAUUUUGGCACGGAUCAUUUAUUGAAAAACACUUGAGUGAUGUUAUUAUCUGCCAGUCAGUGGGAUUUGUUUGUGGCAUCUCUUACACAGAGUGUUUCUAUGGUUACAGUUAUCAAAUUUCCACAACGUUGUAUGUAUUGUUUGUCGUUUCUGUAAUAGUUUUAAAGUUGUGUUUGUCAUCUCUAUCCUUCAUUGGAACCCAUGUGUCCAUCCCCUCCCCCUUUCCAUUCUUUGUUUUGGUCCACAGUGCUUAUACCAUAUUCGGUGUGUUUUGCCUUCGUUCCUCUGUGGUCAUUCUUCUGUUUUGUCUGUGUCUUUCUCCCUCUUGUAGAAUGGAAGCUCUUCGAGGGCAGGGUCUUUGGCCUGUUUCAUUCAUGACUGUAUUCCUAAUGUCUAGAAUGGUCACUGGUAUCCAGUAGGUGCUCAAUAAAUACUAUUUUUGGACAAAUAAAGACUAA